UUCGCAAUGCCCGAAAGGGUGACGAAGCGACGCCGCGUGUGGGAAGAAGGCCUUCGGGUUGUAAACCACUGUCGGGAGUUAAGAAAUACAAGGAUAUGAAUAGUGUCUUUGUUUGACUAAGGCUCCGGAGGAAGCCACGGCUAACUCUGUGCCAGCAGCCGCGGUAAUACAGAGGCGGCAAGCGUUGUUCGGAAUUAUUGGGCGUAAAGAGCACGUAGGCGGCUGUGUAAGUCGGUUGUGAAAGCCUUCCGCUCAACGGAAGAACAGCAACCGAUACUACAUGGCUUGAGUGUGGGAGGGGAGAGUGGAACUUCUGGUGGAGCGGUGAAAUGCGUAGAUAUCAGAAGGAACGCCGGCGGCGAAAGCGGCUCUCUGGCCCAUAACUGACGCUGAGUGUGCGAAAGCUAGGGGAGCAAACGGGAUUAGAUACCCCGGUAGUCCUAGCCGUAAACGAUGGGCACUAAGUAGAGGGGUUUU
rnacentral:rRNA from 1 species